rnacentral:misc_RNA from 1 species
GUGAAGAACGUAGCGAAAUGCGAUAAGUAAUGUGAAUUGCAGAAUUCAGUGAAUCAUCGAAUCUUUGAACGCACCUUGCACCCUUUGGCAUUCCGAAGGGUAUGCUCGUUUGAGUGUCAUUGUACUCUCACACUUCCGAUCUUUGGAUUGGGAGCGGUGGACUUGGGUGUUGCUGCUUACUGUGGCUCACCUCAAAUCGAUUCGUGCACCUCUUGGUUGGACAUAGUACGGCGUGAUAAGUGUCUUCGCCGGCACCUCAGUAGAGGGUGGCUGAUCGGGAGCUCUGCUUCAAACCGUCCUCGGACAACAACUGACAACUUGACCUCAAAUCGAGUAGGACUACCCGCUGAACUUAAGCAUAUCAAUAAGCGGAGGA